rnacentral:rRNA from 1 species
UACAGAGGUCCCAAGCGUUGUUCGGAUUCAUUGGGCGUAAAGGGUGCGUAGGUGGCGCUGUAAGUCGGGUGUGAAAUUUCGGAGCUUAACUCCGAAACUGCAUUCGAUACUGCGGUGCUUGAGGACUGGAGAGGAGACUGGAAUUCAUGGUGUAGCAGUGAAAUGCGUAGAGAUCAUGAGGAAGACCAGUGGCGAAGGCGGGUCUCUGGACAACUACUGACGCUGAGGAGCGAAAGCGUGGGGGAGCGAACAGG